UUUCCGUAGGUGAACCUGCGGAAGGAUCAUUAACAAUUAGCGAUUUUUGGAACUUCCUAAACAAUUUAUCUCCACCUCGUAUGCAACGUUAUGAGACACACUAUCGUUAUCUUUCAGGGUACGGCAGGGGGAACCUCUAAAACAUACCAAAACUCUCUCUAUCUUAUUUGUCUGAACAUUUGUUAUCGCGAGUUAAGGUAAUUCGUAUUUACAACAUCCAACAACGGAUCACUUGGCUAUCGCUUCGAUGAAGAAUGCAGCUGAUCGGCAGAGCACACG
rnacentral:misc_RNA from 1 species